CCUACGGGAGGCAGCAGUGGGGAAUAUUGGACAAUGGGCGAAAGCCUGAUCCAGCAAUGCCGCGUGGGUGAUGAAGGCCUUCGGGUCGUAAAGCUCUUUUACCAGGGAUGAUAAUGACAGUACCUGGAGAAUAAGCUCCGGCUAACUCCGUGCCAGCAGCCGCGGUAAUACGGAGGGAGCUAGCGUUGUUCGGAAUUACUGGGCGUAAAGAGUACGUAGGCGGUUAUUCAAGUCAGAGGUGAAAGCCCGGGGCUCAACCCCGGAACUGCCUUUGAAACUAGAUAACUAGAGUCUUGGAGAGGUUAGUGGAAUUCCGAGUGUAGAGGUGAAAUUCGUAGAUAUUCGGAAGAACACCAGUGGCGAAGGCGACUAACUGGACAAGUACUGACGCUGAGGUACGAAAGCGUGGGGAGCAAACAGGAUUAGAUACCCUGGUAGUCCACGCCGUAAACGAUGAUAACUAGUUGUUCGGUCACUUGGUGACUGAGUGACGCAGCUAACGCAUUAAGUUAUCCGCCUGGGGAGUACGGUCGCAAGNUUAAAACUCAAAUGAAUUGACGGNNGAGANGCGAGACGACACGAGGAGAG
rnacentral:rRNA from 1 species